rnacentral:tRNA from 1 species
GGGCCCAUAGCUCAGUUGGCUAGAGCGCACGGCUGAUAACCGUGAGGUCACUGGUUCGAACCCAGUUGGGCCCACCA